UGGCCGGAGGCAGAGAUGCUCUGGGCCCAGCCUAGCUAGUUUCUCUUAAAAGGAAAGCAAGUUGUAUCUGUGUCCACUUUCUAACCCAGGGCUUUCUGUGAAACACAGCAUCAAAACUGUAGUGCGAUUACAAGGAAUUUCCUGACUACAUCUUCUUGCCCCCUGUAUUUUCAUGUAAAACCAUUUUUACUUAAUCAUGGGGUCAUUUACUAAGAUAUGUUAGAACUGGGCUGUGGUGUCAGUGAGUUAAAAUUGGUGGUACGAGGAUUAAACAAACAGCCUGUUCACAGCUUCUCAACAGUGGUCUGAAAAAUGUGUGGGGAAAGGUGAUGAUGGCUGUAGAAAGAUAUUUUACACACACGAUAGUGUUCAAGGUAAAGUUACAGUCUGGUUGGCAUGUUCUGAAAGGAGUGAGAGAGGUGACCAAGACUGAAGCCAAAAGACUAAGAAUCCAUGUACCAAGUUAUAACCAGAGUUGUGCUUUAACUUUUAUAUAAUGUACAGCAAUGUAUUUCAGGGUCAUCUGGAUACUGUAUCCAGUAAAUGGGUUUUGUAGGAAGGAAGAGCUGUGGUGAGAGGAACUAUUCUUUUUCUCUUCUGAGACAUCUUCCCAAGGAAAAGUAGUAUUUCUGUACUUAAAGAGUUCAUAGAGCAUUUAUGAAAGUAUUUCUGUGGUGAAAACUCCCAUCUUGCAGAAAAGCAAAGUACAGCAAUUCUGAUGACAUUGACUGAUCUGUAAUGGGUUACUGUGAGGUAGCAAAAAAAUGUGUCAGCUAUCCCUACUGUUGUUUCAUUAAUAUUGAUUCCAAUGCUGCUAUUUACAGUAUUUAUAGCUUAAACAUAAAUUUGCCAUGCAAAGUGUCAGUAUAGCUUAAAUGUGUUCCAGUGGCUGAUUGAUGUGCUAUAAAUUUCAUUUAAAUACAUUUGUAUGUGAAUAGACAUCCAGGUAUCCUUUCCAGCCAUGGCACUAUGACAGAAUCAUCAUUCCUUAAAUGUCUUUUAUUACAAGACUGUAAGUGGACUGUUAAACUUUUGGCUCAAGGGCACAAUAACCCUCAGAUCAGCAUAAUUUAAUCAUCAAAGUAACCUAAUGGAAAGUUAAACUUGAUAUACAAGACAAUGUAAUUUCCCCCCAUUUCAUCUAUUCCACGCCUAUAGAUUUUUCUAAAAUGGGUUAAUUUUAUAUAUUGAAAUGUCAUCACAAGCAUAAAUGCUUUUAUGUAUUUUUAUAACCUUCUUAUUUUGUGGGUUGGAAACUAUUCUUAUUUCCUCUUUAUCUGCUUUGUAAAUUAUAAUUUUAUUGGCCUGGAAAAUAAUUUCAGGGAUGUAAAAUUGGGGCAUGCUAUGCAUAUAUUUGUUCUCAUUACAAAUACUUUGACAAAAAACAUAUCUCCUUACUACACAAAACUACCCAUAGGGCCAUAGAAGAAAAUAUACGUGAUUUUGAAGAAAUUGCUCUGUAAAAUUCUGUAGGAAAAUAUGAAAUCAUCUCUUGCAGAAACAAAAGAGGUAGCAUUUUCAGUAAUAAGUAUUAGUAGUAAGAUGAACACAUUGUUCACAUGUAUGUGUACACAUGAGUAUUACUGUGCAUAUAUAAAUAAUAUCUAAACAAAAUCAAAUCUAUUUCUGUCAUUGAAAGUGCUAGAGAUUUACACUUUAAAAUCAGAGUGGGAGCAGGAUCAUUUUAAAGAUUUGAGUCUAUAGACCACAGAAGAGUGAUCAGGAACUGUGAUGAUGGCACUGACUUCUAUCAACUUGUAUAAGAGAGGUUCACCAGGUAAUGUCCCCCAGAGGAAUCACUGCUGCAGGAGGAUGUGUCUACUCAUCCUGCAGCUCCAGCAGAAGGGCCUGUAUCCAAAAGGCCAUUCUCCAAUGCAGAGUGUGCAGCACAAGUGAGGAGCAGGAGGUGUGUGGAUUGCUUGUAGCUUGCAAGGGACCUUGUGGCCCAGAAUGCAGAGAGUUCACAGGCCACAUGCACCGUCCUCCAGGAACUGGACCACAUUGAAGACCAGAGUUCCUGGAUGACAUCCAGACUAAACCUCUGCCAAAACACCAGGUUUUCCAUUGCUCAAGAUUCACAUGUCAACCCUUCCCAUCUUGAGGAUAUAAACAUAAGAAAAGCCCUGCUGGAUCAGGCCCAAGGCCUAUUUAGUCCAGCAUCCUGUUUCACAGUGGCCCACCAGAAGAACACAGAUGAUAGACCAGACCCAGUGUGGGCUGCAGAUUUCAUAUGGGCUUUGAAGGCACAUCAGAUCUCUGGAUAAAAGGCAUUUGCGUAUGUGUCUUUGGCCGUCUUCUCAUGACAUUUCCAAGAGGCAGCUUCUUUAACCAUAUGCUGUACUAAUUAAUUGAAGUUGAAAUCUUACACAUGAAAAACUCUAUCCUUUGAAAGAAAAGGCCAAAGGACAGUUAUUUGGAUGAGAAUGAGGUUGAUCUGUAAGAAGCCAGACCAUUUUUUCUUCUUUACAAAGAAACCUUUAGGAAACACAAAAAUAUUGAAACAUUAGAUUCUCUUGGCACAAUAAAAAAGAAAACUACACAGGAAAAAAAGAACAAU